GUUCAGUGAGCUGAAGACCUAUUGGCCAAAUCGGCCAACAAAUCUACUUUUUCCCUCCUUCCUUGGCUGCUUGGCUUCUAAGUUUGUGCUUCGCCUGCUUUUUUUAUUAAAGAAGAUGAAUCUUGAGGGUUAGUACUAGUCGAUCUCUAUGGCUACCCCUCCGAUUAUAUGAAAAUGAGAAGCCAUGUAUGCUCUCUUUCUUCUUCUGCUAUUAUCCCCUUAAGCCUCUGCGUGCUUGGCUUCCAUGGUCUCAGUGCUUGAUGGUGCUGGUUUGACUUUAAGUUUUGCUACUGGUUUUUUGCGCUUUGGUUUCUAUGGGAAGGCUUUUGUAACCGUGCGUGGCCCUGGCGAUGAGCUUCACUUUGCUGCGAUCUCCCUCCCAGUAUCUCUCCUCGUCUUGCCUCGUUGGUUCUGUCGGGUUUUAGAUUUGGGCACCUAACCCGCCCCGGCUAGAGUUUAUGUUAAUGGGUUUGGGAUUAGUUUUCUUAGAC
rnacentral:misc_RNA from 1 species